UUUCGGGCAUAGUGGCGCACGGGUGCGUAACGCGUGGGAAUCUGCCCCUUGGUUCGGAAUAACUCAGAGAAAUUUGAGCUAAUACCGGAUGACGACGUAAGUCCAAAGAUUUAUCGCCGAGGGAUGAGCCCGCGUAGGAUUAGCUAGUUGGUGGGGUAAAGGCCUACCAAGGCGACGAUCCUUAGCUGGUCUGAGAGGAUGAUCAGCCACACUGGGACUGAGACACGGCCCAGACUCCUACGGGAGGCAGCAGUGGGGAAUGUUGGACAAUGGGCGAAAGCCUGAUCCAGCAAUGCCGCGUGAGUGAUGAAGGCCUUAGGGUUGUAAAGCUCUUUUACCCGGGAUGAUAAUGACAGUACCGGGAGAAUAAGCUCCGGCUAACUCCGUGCCAGCAGCCGCGGUAAUACGGAGGGAGCUAGCGUUGUUCGGAAUUACUGGGCGUAAAGCGCACGUAGGCGGCUUUGUAAGUUAGAGGUGAAAGCCUGGAGCUCAACUCCAGAACUGCCUUUGAUACUGCAUGGCUUGAAUCCAAGAGAGGUGAGUGGAAUUCCGAGUGUAGAGGUGAAAUUCGUAGAUAUUCGGAAGAACACCAGUGGCGAAGGCGGCUCACUGGCUUGGUAUUGACGCUGAGGUGCGAAAGCGUGGAGAGCAAACAGGAUUAGAUACCCUGGUAGUCCACGCCGUAAACGAUGAUAACUAGCUGUCGGGGCACUUGGUGUUUCGGUGGCGCAGCU
rnacentral:rRNA from 1 species